rnacentral:rRNA from 1 species
CAAUAGCGUAUAUUAAAGUUGUUGCAGUUAAAAAGCUCGUAGUUGAAACUUUAGCCUCGUAUACCGACUCUAAGUCAGGUAUACAGAGCUGAUACUCGCAAAGAUGUCAUCACGCAUUAGCUUGUGUGGUGAUGGAGUUGCGUCGUUUACUGUGAACAAAUUAGGGUGUUUAAAGCAGGCUUACGCUUGAAUACAUUAGCAUGGAAUAAUGAGAUAUGACUUUGGUUGUAUUUUGUUGGUGACCACCGAAGUAAUGAUUGAUAGAAACAGUUGUGGGUAUUCGUAUGAGCAUGUCAGAGGUGAAAUUCUUGGAUUUUGAUCAGACGAACUACUGCGAAAGCAUUUACCAAGGAUGUUUUCAUUAA